rnacentral:rRNA from 1 species
GGGCCCGCACAAGCGGUGGAGUAUGUGGUUUAAUUCGACGCAACGCGAAGAACCUUACCAGGGUUUGACAUCCACUGAAUACUUAAGAGAUUAGGUAGGCCCUUUCGGGGGACAGUGAGACAGGUGGUGCAUGGCUGUCGUCAGCUCGUGUCGUGAGAUGUUGGGUUAAGUCCCGCAACGAGCGCAACCCUUAUCCUGUGUUACCAGCAUGAAAGAUGGGGACUCACAGGAGACUGCCGCCGACAAGGCGGAGGAAGGCGGGGAUGACGUCAAGUCAUCAUGCCCCUUAUGUCCUGGGCUACACACGUACUACAAUGGGUGCGAACAGAGGGCAGCAAACCCGCGAGGGGGAGCCAAUCCCACAAAAGCACUCUCAGUUCGGAUCGCAGGCUGCAACCCGCCUGCGUGAAGUCGGAAUCGCUAGUAAUCGCAGAUCAGCAGGCUGCGGUGAAUACGUUCCCGGGCCUU